CAAAGGAAUUGACGGGGGCCCGCACAAGCGGUGGAGCAUGUGGUUUAAUUCGAUGCAACGCGAAGAACCUUACCAGGUCUUGACAUCUGUAGAACCUUUAGGAAACUAGAGGGUGCCUUCGGGAGCUACAAGACAGGUGGUGCAUGGUUGUCGUCAGCUCGUGUCGUGAGAUGUUGGGUUAAGUCCCGCAACGAGCGCAACCCUUGCUAUUAGUUGCUAACAUUAACGAUGAGCACUCUAAUGGGACUGCCCGUGACAAGCGGGAGGAAGGUGGGGAUGACGUCAAAUCAUCA
rnacentral:rRNA from 1 species